UCUAGAGGCUUCGUCAAUGGGGGAAACCCUGAACGAGCGACGCCGCGUGUGGGAUUGAAGGCCUUCGGGUCGUAAACCACUGUCAAGCGGGAAGAAUGCCCGGAUGGCGAAUCCGGGAGCGACGGUACCGCUGGAGGAAGCCCCGGCUAACUCCGUGCCAGCAGCCGCGGUAAUACGGAGGGGGCCAGCGUUGUUCGGAUUUCCUGGGCGUAAAGGGUGUGUAGGCGGUUGCGCAAGUCUGGUGUGAAAUCUUCACCGCUCAACGGGAAGAGGUCAUUGGAAACUGCGUAACUCGAGUAUGGAAGAGGCAAGCGGAAUUCCUGGUGUAGCGGUGGAAUGCGUAGAUAUCAGGAAGAACACCGGUGGCGAAGGCGGCUUGCUGGGCCAUCACUGACGCUGAGACACGAAAGCGUGGGGAGCAAACG
rnacentral:rRNA from 1 species